rnacentral:lncRNA from 1 species
ACAGGGUGGGAAGGUUAACUAGGCAUAGUCAACUUUGCCUACUCUUCAUUUACCUUUUGGAAGAAAUCUCAGGCUUCCUCACAACCAAAGAACCUCUGUCUGACCCUACUCUCAGCCCCUGCUCUGGCCUCUUCUGACAAGGAAGAUGCUCAGGCAGGAUGCAGGCUCAGCACUUUGAGACUGGUGGAUGUACUUAGAAACCUUCGUCUAACCAGUGAGCUCUGCCCUUACCAGCUGCCCUUUAUUCACUGUUUCUAGGCCCAUAACUACUGAUUUGCUGUUGCACUGCAGAAUAUUCUAGGACAUUCAGAUUUACAUACAUUUUUCUUCUGUCCUUUCUUGACAGGGUUUCUGUGUAGCCCUGGCUGGCCUCGAACUCAGAAUGGCCUGCCUCUGGAGAUGAAGGCAUCCACCAUUCCCAUUUUUCUGUUUUUUGUUUUUUAAUGAGUGUGCUUUGUGUAUGGGGAAUGCACAUGAACAAGGACCCCAGAAGACAGCCUCAUCCCCAGGAACACCAUCUCCUUUCCUUGAGGGAGGGUCUCUCAUUGACCUCACCGACUGGGCUAGGCACUGAGCCCACAGGUUCUCUUGUCUCUGCCUCCCAGGCAGGUACUGGGGAUUUCAAGCAAACCACUU